CCAGACAGCCAGACUUAGCAUUUUUCUCCAUUCAUUUCGCCCUAGACUUUCUUCCGCCAUCUGCUAUUUCUUCCCGGAAAUCUACAGUCCGACAGCCAUUUCGCCGGCUUCUUCGCCGUUGACGACAGCCGUUCCGCCGCCCUUCAUCUGCAGACGACGACUACCGACCUUCCUCUCGCCAACAGACGACGACGACCUUCCUCAUUUUCGAGACCAGAACAGACAGACCACGACAGCCCUUCCCGCCGCCGCUCUUCCUUCGCCGACGAAGACAGCCGACAGCCAUCGCCUCAGCCUCAGCCACACUCGCCGGCGCCUUUCCUUCGUCGGAGAUGCCUCACUCGCCAUCGCCACCGACCACUCCGUAGCCGCCGAUUCCCAAAACAACGGGCAACCUGGACUUGCUUCUCAAUAUUUUCACACUCAAGCUGGGGUUUGCAGCCAUGGUUCACAGAAACUCUUUUAUUCAUCUGUAUUCUGUAAACUAUUCCUACUAGCUUAAGCUUGGUUGGAUUGCUAGAUGCCUUGAAAUCUCACACUUGCAGGGACUGAAAUCUCACACUUGGUAUGAAGUAAAGAUAUCUUAUCCUGCUUCUAUACCAGCUACUUUUUCUUUACAACUCAAGAAAGAUAGUUCAGGGUUGGUGCUAAAUAGGGAAAGAAAAUUACUGAAUACUGAGGAACCAUGGAGAACUAACUGUAGCUACAUUGUAUUGUUGGGGGACAAUGAAGAACUAUUGGUAACAACCUUGUAUAGUCUAAGGAUUCAAGUUAUAGCUGAGGCAACAAGUUAUCGCUGAGCUGUUGAGUUCACUAUUAGGUGAAGAGGAGGAAGGGGGCUAUGAAGAGAAGGAGUGUGAGCAGGAAGAAACACAUGAGCCUUAAAUGGAGUAGUUGGAAUAUUUGGAACUAGGGCGAAAGCUGAAAGAAAUAUUUCGGGAUAGAGGCGCAAUUCUCAUUGUUCUUGAUUUUGAAGUUAGAGUGAAGGAUCUAUAACAUGUCUGUGACACUCUUUAGGGGGAUACAAUUCUAUCCUCUUAGGCAAUACAAAUUUCCAUAUUUUUCUAGAAAACAUGCCACUUUGUAUUGUACUUUGGAAAGAACAGAAACCAAUACUACAACACAAGAAAAGCAACAGACCAAGUUGAAAGGGUUGCCAAAAAAUCAAUCAAAACCACUUGAUAACAUUUUGAAAGAUUAUGAAUCAAUCAUUGGUAUAGAAACCCACGUGCAGCUUUCAACUCUUACAAAGGCUUUUUGUGGCUGCCCGUAUACUUACGGGGCUCCCCCAAAUACAUACAUUUGCCCCAUUUGCAUGGGUUUGCCUGGGGCAUUGCCAGUUUUAAACUCAAAGGUUAUAGAAUCUGCCAUUAAAGUUGGUCUUGCACUCAACUGUAAGCUUUCUCUGAGCUCAAAGUUUGAUAGGAAGCAGUACUUUUAUCCGGAUCUUCCAAAGGGAUACCAAAUAUCACAGUUUGAUAUACCUAUUGCAAGUGGGGGUUAUCUUGAUCUAGAUCUGCCGGUUGAGUUUGGUGGGGGACAUAGGAGAUUUGGCAUUACAAGGGUUCACAUGGAAGAAGAUGCCGGCAAGCUGCUUCAUACUGAUGGUGGGAGUUAUUCUCAGGUUGACUUGAAUAGAGCAGGGGUACCAUUACUUGAAAUUGUCUCUGAACCUGAUAUGAGAACUGGAAUUGAAGCCUCAGAGUAUGCUGCAGAGUUGCAACGAUUGGUAAGAUAUUUGGGAGUGAGUAAUGGAAAUAUGCAAGAAGGGUCACUUCGUUGUGAUGUCAAUAUCUCUGUUCGUCCAAUUGGACAAUUAGAAUUUGGUACAAAGGUGGAAAUUAAGAAUUUGAACUCAUUCUCAUCGGUAAGUAGGGCUAUUGAUUUUGAGAUUUCAAGACAGGUGCUUCUUCAUAGCCAAGGCCAGAAUGAUGAAAUUGUACAAGAAACUCGUCUCUGGGAAGAAGGUUCUCAGAAGACAAUUACCAUGAGAAAAAAGGAAGGGCUUGCUGACUACCGUUAUUUCCCAGAGCCUGAUCUUCCAGGAGUUACUAUCACUCAAGAUUAUGUUGACAGUGUUUGCAAUUCAUUGCCUGAACUUCCAGAGAUGAAACGGCGGAGGUACGAAAAAAUGGGAUUAAGCAUGCAAGAUGUUCUUUUUCUGACUAACGACUCUAAUAUUGCAGAGUUUUUCGAUGCAACAAUUGCUAGAGGUGCAGAUGUAAAACUUGCUACUAAUUGGAUGAUGGGUGACAUAGCUGCAUAUUUGAAAAAUGAAAAGUUAUCCAUCAAUGAGAUUAAACUUACUCCUCAAGAACUCAGUGAGCUCAUUUCUGCAAUCAAAGAGGAGACUAUCAGUGGAAAGAUUGGGAAAGAGAUAUUGUUUGAGAUAAUGGCCAAGGGUGGAACUGUCAAGGGGAUGAUAAAAGAAAAGGAUUUGGUUCAGAUUGUAGAUCCUCAAGAGAUCGAGAAAAUGGUAGAUAAAGUGAUUGCUGGCAAUCCAAAGCAACUAGAGCAAUACCGUGGGGGUAAAACUAAACUGCAAGGCUAUUUUGCUGGUCAGGUGAUGAAGGAAUCCAAAGGCAAGGCAAAUCCAAAGAUGUUGAACAAAAUCCUAUUAGAAAAGUUAAAUGCCAAAAGGUGAUGCUUUGUCCAGUAGCAGCCUUGAAUAAUUCCCAUUGUAUUGUUGUGAAGCAGCAAAACGGUGUUGGUUGCUUUAUAGAUUAGGUACUCUCUUGAGUCUUGAGAUGGAAGGAUUAUGAAUUUGUUGAUAUGAAAUUUAUUAAUGUUGACCUUUAACACCAAGCAAACCUUACAAAGAACGCAUAUAAGUUCUUUCUUCAUCUU